rnacentral:lncRNA from 1 species
CGGGCUGGAGAGCCUGAUGAGGACCUGACAUCCCAUCACUUGUCAAUCAUUUCCUGAUCCUCUGCGUGAUCCUCACCGCUCUCAAACUCUACCAUCUCCUCUGGACCUUGGUGAGAGCCAUAAGUUCUCCCUACAAUCCUUUCCUCAACCGAUCGUCCACUCCACGCCAGAAAAAGCCUGCCUUGGUUCCAGACCUGGUCACUGCAGUCUGAGUGAGUGUGCAUCUGCUGGACAUAAAGCCUAAGGCUUGAGACUUUUGAACUUAGGACGCAAAGGGAAUGUCUGUCACUAGCCCGUCAUGAUUAAGUGUGUUUGCAGUGCUUAGAAUUAAUCUAGAAUUGUUUGCACUAAAUUAAUUAAUCUAGAAUCCUUUACUUUUUUGCGAAUGGAUUUUGUCUAUUGCAGUGCCUAGCAUUAGGAUUGUCAUUUUAUUGAUUAAGAACCUAUAGAGUGAAAUUGUAUUGAGUAAUUUGAGUGAACAAGGCAUUUAAAGGGGCAGAAGCGCAUGGACAUUCUUUAUUUCUCCCCUUGACUGCGUAUGUUGCAAUUUUUCCCCCUGCACAAAGGUACUGAUACCAAGCAAAGUCGGAAAUAUUGAUCUGCUCUCAUCAAGAUAAUUUACUUGUAUCUGUUAGGUUUUAUCACUUAUGGAAACUAAGUCUUAAAGGAAUUAGGAUUUGUACCUGCUUUAAAGUCUUUUAAAUUAGCUAGGUGUGGUGGCACAUGCCUGUAAUCCCAGCAACUGGAGAGGCUUAGACAGGAGAAUUUCAGGUUCAAAGUCAGCCUCA